rnacentral:rRNA from 1 species
UACGGAGGGAGCAAGCGUUACUCGGAAUUAUUGGGCGUAAAGGGCGCGUAGGCGAUCUGACAAGUCUGGUGUGAAAGCCACAUGUUAACUGUGGAAGUGCAUUAGAAACUGUUGGAUUUGAGUUCAGGAGAGGAAAGCAGAAUUCCCGGUGUAGCGGUGAAAUGCGUAGAGAUCGGGAAGAACACCCGUGGCGAAGGCGGCUCUCUGGGACGGUACUGACGCUGAGACGCGAAAGCGUGGGGAGCGAACAGG